rnacentral:rRNA from 1 species
AGCGAACGCUGGCGGCAGGCUUAACACAUGCAAGUCGAGCGGGCCUUUCGGGGUCAGCGGCGGACGGGUGAGUAACGCGUGGGAACGUGCCCUCUGGUUCGGAAUAACUCAGGGAAACUUGAGCUAAUACCGGAUACGCCCUUUUGGGGAAAGGCUUGCUGCCGGAGGAUCGGCCCGCGUCUGAUUAGCUAGUUGGUGAGGUAACGGCUCACCAAGGCGACGAUCAGUAGCUGGUCUGAGAGGAUGAUCAGCCACACUGGGACUGAGACACGGCCCAGACUCCUACGGGAGGCAGCAGUGGGGAAUAUUGGAAAAUGGGCGCAAGCCUGAUCCAGCCAUGCCGCGUGAGUGAUGAAGGCCUUAGGGUUGUAAAGCUCUUUUAUCCGGGACGAUAAUGACGGUACCGGAGGAAUAAGCCCCGGCUAACUUCGUG